CAGAAAUCAUAAAGAAAAAUUAAAUUUGAAUAUUAUUUAAAUGAAUUUUUAAAGUAUUUUUUUUUUCAUUCAAAAUACCUUGACUAUGAGAAUAUUGUGUAGACAAGAAUAUAAAAUGUAUUUAGUGCAGAGGAUAUGGAAAUUAAAUAAUCUUGACCAGCUAACCAUCUGUGUUCAUUUGAUAACAUCAGUGGACACCAACUGUGAAUGAAGCACUUACCUAAUCAUUUAAUUGCUUGUAUAAACAAUCAAUUACAUGGUUUCAAUGUUGAAUAUCAGGGGAAAUCCGGGCUGUUCUCUAAAGUAGUCCUAGAUUUGUAAAGCAAGGAACAAGUUUCUGUACGGCAAAAUCAUAAUCAUUGUCGCUGGCGACAAUCAUAAUAUCAUGAGUUACGUUUUCCUCAACAGCAUAGUCCCCAAUAUUUGAGUUAGCAACAGGAAGCAGUUCCUCGCAAAUCGA
rnacentral:lncRNA from 1 species